ACAGCAGUAGCCGCGGGAAUGCGAAGGGGGCUAGCGUUGUUCGGAAUUAUUGGGCGUAAAGGGCUCGCAGGCGGUUUCUUAAGUCUGAUGUGAAAGCCCCCGGCUCAACCGGGGAGGGUCAUUGGAAACUGGGAAACUUGAGUGCAGGAGAGGAGAGUGGAAUUCCACGUGUAGCGGUGAAAUGCGUAGAGAUGUGGAGGAACACCAGUGGCGAAGGCGACUCUCUGGUCUGUAACUGACGCUGAUGAGCGAAAGCGUGGGGAGCGAACAGGAUUAGAGACCCGUGUAGUCCCUGUCUCUUAUAA
rnacentral:rRNA from 1 species